AGCGAACGCUGGCGGCAGGCUUAACACAUGCAAGUCGAGCGGGCCCUUCGGGGUCAGCGGCGGACGGGUGAGUAACGCGGGGGAACGUGCCUUCCGGCUCGGAAUCACCCUGGGAAACUAGGGCUAAUACCGGAUACGCCCUUAUGGGGAAAGGUUUACUGCCGGAAGAUCGGCCCGCGUCUGAUUAGCUAGUUGGUGGGGUAAUGGCCUACCAAGGCGACGAUCAGUAGCUGGUCUGAGAGGAUGAUCAGCCACACUGGGACUGAGACACGGCCCAGUCUCCUACGGGAGGCAGCAGUGGGGAAUAUUGGACAAUGGGCGCAAGCCUGAUCCAGCCAUGCCGCGUGAGUGAUGAAGGCCUUAGGGUUGUAAAGCUCUUUUAUCCGGGACGAUAAUGACGGUACCGGAGGAAUAAGCCCCGGCUAACUUCGUGCCAGCCGCCGCGGUAA
rnacentral:rRNA from 1 species